AUUGAACGCUGGCGGCAGGCCUAACACAUGCAAGUCGAGCGGUAGAGAGGUGCUUGCAUCUCUUGAGAGCGGCGGACGGGUGAGUAAUGCCUAGGAAUCUGCCCUAGUGGUGGGGGAUAACGUUCGGAAACGGACGCUAAUACCGCAUACGUCCUACGGGAGAAAGCGGGGGGAUCGUUCGGACCUCGCGCCAUUAGAUGAGCCUAGGUCGGAUUAGCUAGUUGGUGAGGUAAUGGCUCACCAAGGCGACGAUCCGUGACUGGUCUGAGAGGAUGAUCAGUCACACUGGAACUGAGACACGGUCCAGACUCCCUACGGGAGGCAGCAGUGGGGAAUAUUGGACAAUGGGCGAAAGCCUGAUCCAGCCAUGCCGCGUGUGUGAAGAAGGUCUUCGGAUUGUAAAGCACUUUAAGUUGGGAGGAAGGGUAGUAACCUAAUACGUU
rnacentral:rRNA from 1 species